AAAAAAAACAAAGAAAACUUUGAAAUUUGUGUAAUUGUUCAUAAUAAGUUAGGACAAAUAUAUCUUAGGAGAACAUUUGGGUAUUUUAUCAAUAAAAAUUUUAAAGGCAACAACGAAGGGUUUUAGUUUUGGAGCAUUGGGUUUAAGGAAAAGCUAUAUCAUCGUCUUCUUCUUCUUUCUUCUUCUUCUUCUUGUCGUCCUUUAACGACUUCGGACUUCCUAUAUAUUUACAGAUAUACCCUUUUACAACCACCAUCACUUCAUUUCUCUCUCAUGGGCGUCCAACGAGAAUCCGUUGCUGGCUUCCCCGGACAUAACCUACCGUUGAAUAAUGGCACUCAGAUUCCCAAUUCUCCGGUUAAAGGCUUGGCCAUUGACAAGCAAGUUCUGGCCGCUCCAAUUAAAUCCGCCGUUGAAAAAUAUCAGCUUCUUCCUGAAUUUUUAAAGGUUAGAGGUUUAGUGAAGCAACAUUUGGACUCGUUUAACUAUUUUGUGAAUACGGAAAUUAAAAAGAUUGUUCGUGCCAAUAAUCGUAUUGAAUCCAGUCUGGAUCCAAGCAUUUAUCUCAGGUUCAAAGAUAUUAGAAUUGGUGAGCCCUCAGUGACGCUGGAUGGUGUCAGUGAAAACCUUAAUCCACAUACAUGCCGGUUAUCUGACAUGACGUAUGCUGCUCCGAUAAAGGUUGAUGUAGAAUACAUUGAAGGAAGUCAUGGUCAAAAGACUAGAGCGCAAAAGGAAAAUGUUGUUAUUGGAAGAAUGCCUAUAAUGUUACGGAGUUGCUGCUGUGUUUUAUAUGGAAAAGAUGAAGCUGAGCUUGCAAGACUAGGUGAGUGCCCUCUUGAUCCUGGAGGAUAUUUUAUCAUCAAAGGAACAGAGAAGGUAAUUCUCAUACAAGAACAACUUUCAAAGAAUAGGAUUAUUAUUGAUAUGGACAAGAAGGGAAACAUAAAUGCUUCUGUUACGAGCAGUUCUGAGACAAUAAAAAGCAAAACUACUAUUCAGAUGGAAAAGGGGAAAUUGUAUUUGAUUCUCAGCCAAUUCAGCACUAAGGUUCCUAUAAUGGUGGUCAUGAAGGCUAUGGGAAUGGAGAGCGAUCAAGAAGUAGUGCAAAUGGUUGGAAGAGAUCCUCGAUAUAGUGCUCUCCUUAUGCCAUCAAUUGAGGAAUGUGGAAAGGAUAUUCAUACAAAAGAGCAAGCCUUAGACUAUUUAGAAUCAAAGCUGAAGAGGUCCAUGUAUCCUCCUAGUGCACAUGCUCCUAAUGCUUCUUCUGAAAAGGCUGGUAGAGUAAUGACAAUCCUUAAAGAUGUGUUUCUUGCCAAUGUUCGGGUGCAUCAGAAUAAUUUUCGGCCAAAAUGCAUAUAUGUUGGGGUAAUGCUGAGACGCAUAAUGGAUGCAAUUUUAAACAAGGAUGCAAUAGAUGACAAGGACUACGUAGGGAACAAGAGGCUGGAAUUAUCUGGUCAAUUGAUUUCGCUUCUUUUUGAGGAUUUGUUCAAGACGAUGAUUACUGAUGUUAAGAGGACUGUAGAUUCUAUUUUGGCAAAGCCCAGCAGGUCAAGUCGGUUUGACUUUGCUCAGUGGAUAGUUAGAGAUAAUAUCACAAAUGGCCUUGAAAGGGCCCUUUCAACUGGAAACUGGGAUGUCAAACGGUUUAAGAUGAACAAGAAAGGCGUGACACAGGUGCUAGGUCGAUUAUCUUUUAUUGGCACUCUGGGCCAUAUGACCAGAAUCAACCCACAAUUUGAGAAAUCACGGAAAGUAAGUGGACCUAGAGCCUUGCAACCUAGUCAGUGGGGCAUGCUUUGCCCAUGUGAUACUCCUGAGGGUGAAGCUUGUGGACUAGUUAAAAACUUGGCCCUAAUGACUCAUGUGACAACUGAUGAAGAGGAGGAGCCAUUAAUCUCCCUGUUCUAUUGCUUGGGUGUUGAGGACUUGGAAUUACUCUCUGGAGAGGAGCUUCAUGCACCAAAUUCUUUCCUAGUUAUAUUCAAUGGGCACAUCCUCGGAAAGCAUCGGAGACCACAGCGUUUUGCCACUGCAAUCAGAAUGUUACGCAGAGCUGGGAAAAUUGGGGAGUUUGUAAGUGUCUUUCUCAAUGAGAAGCAGCGCUGUGUUUAUAUUGCUUCUGAUGGAGGUCGAGUUUGUCGUCCACUGGUCAUUGCUGACAAGGGCAUAUCAAGGAUCAAAGAACAUCAUAUGAAGGAGUUGUUGGAUGGAGUGCGAACAUUUGAUGACUUUUUACGUGAGGGGUUGAUUGAGUAUCUUGACGUUAAUGAGGAGAACAAUGCUUUGAUUGCUUUGUAUGAAGCGGAUGCUACCCCAGAGACAACACAUAUUGAGAUAGAGCCAUUUACCAUCUUAGGUGUUUGUGCUGGGCUAAUUCCAUAUCCUCAUCACAAUCAGUCACCUAGAAAUACUUACCAGUGUGCAAUGGGAAAGCAAGCGAUGGGAAAUAUUGCAUAUAACCAGCUAUCUCGAAUGGACACAUUGCUCUACCUACUGGUGUAUCCUCAAAAACCAUUAUUGACAACAAGGACUAUUGAACUGGUUGGCUAUGAUAAGCUUGGAGCAGGGCAGAAUGCAACAGUCGCUGUGAUGAGUUAUAGUGGCUAUGAUAUAGAGGAUGCAAUAGUCAUGAACAAGGCAUCUCUUGAUCGUGGAUUUGGUCGUUGUAUUGUCAUGAAAAGGCUUUCAGCCAUCAUACAAAAGUAUGAGAAUAACACUCAAGACAGGAUCGCCAGACCCAACAGAGCAGGAAAUGAUGCUGGAAGGAUGCAGGUGCUAGAUGACGAUGGAAUUGCAGCCCUUGGGGAAAUUAUUAGAGACCAAAUGAUAGAUAAAUUAACAAACUCCCAGAGUUACGAGGGGGGCUAUGGUAACGGGGUUAACUGAUAGGGAUUUCAAGUUUGCUUCUCGGACAUUUAAAGGUCCUAUAGGGGAAUCAAGUGUGGUGGACAAAGUGGCUCUUUUUAAGGACAAGAAUAAUAAUAUGUGCAUCAAAUACUUAGUUCAUCAUACUCGUAGACAUGAGGAUUAGUGAUAAUUUAGUAGCAGACAUGGGCUAAAAGGUGUUCGUGGAACCAUUGUCCAACAGGAAGAUUUCCCCUUUUCUGAGGGUCGCAUGUGCCCUGAUUUAAGCAUAAAUCCUCAAGGAAAGAUGAUAGAGCUUCUUGUGGGUAGAGCUGAGGUUUCAUGUGGGAGGUUUCGCUAUGGCAGUGCUUUUGGGGAACCAAGCGGUCAUGCAGACACGGUUGAAGCUAUAGUCAAACACUCGUGGAGAAGGGGUUUAGCUACAAUGGCAAGGAUUUCAUUUAUUCAGGUGUUUUUGCUUCUGGCAAUCAUUACAUAUGAAGUAAACGAUAGUCUAGAAAUAUAUAAUAUAUUGAAUAUCUUAUAGCAGCAUGUUUUUCUCUUUUCUCCUCCAAGUAUCACAGGUUGCCCACUACAGGCGUAUAUUUUCAAAGGACCAAUUUACUACCAGACGCUAAAGCAUAUGGUGAUAUUUCCUUUGUUAUGCUCGUACGUGUGAAGGCUCUUAUCAUUGUUGAAUAUAUGCUUUAUUCUGACAAUCAGCUAUCCAUUAAAUUUGCAAGCACACAAACUAUGUCACACUGAAUGCUUUGAACAGAGGCUUUACUUUUGUGGACUGCAUGCUUGAAACCUUGCCAUAUGAUAUGAUGCUCAGUUGAAGAUGAAGCAUAAACCAAAUCUUAUGCACUGCAUAAUCUUGAUUAGCAUGUUUAGUUUUAGUUUGGGAGUAUAAUCUAACAUUUCCCUCAUGCUCAAUAGAGACAUGUGGUGCAGAUAGGCUGCUAUGGCCCACAAUGACAUUUAAACGUGGACCAUUUUUUUUUUUUUUUCUUUUAUUGUUUUCUCUUUUAGCCUCCAGGUAUCACAGGUUGUCCACUACAGGCAUAUAUUUACAUGGGACCAAUUUACUACCAGAAGCUAAAGCACAUGGUGCAGAAGUUUUGGAGGCUGCUGCGAGCACCCUUUGGCCACAAGUCUUGCUUUGUAUUUUUGAAUUGAACCAUCCUCAUUGAAUUUUGUUUUAUCCAUUCUUCAUCCAUUGCUUUUUUCCAAGCUUGAUCUUUCACAAGCUUCUUCAUACUUCUGUGCCUCAUGGGAAAUACUUGCCGGUGGGGUGUCUUUUGCUGUCUUGGACUUUCUGGUGGAGUGCUAAAUGUAUUUUCCUCAAUCCUUUUCGAUGUUCCAGAUGCUUUAAAUAACGGGUUUCUGGCAGCUCCUCAUGGUUCUGUUUUCAAGCUCCGUUUCCAUAAAAAAUGACAUCUUUUGAGAUUACUAGUUCCCUUGAAUUAGGAUUAUAUAAACGAUAUCCCUUGGGCUCUUCAGUGUACCCAAUGAAGAUACAUUUCUCACCUUUCUCAUCAAAUUUUUUCCUGUUAUGUGAAGGCACAUGGUAGUAACAAACACAACCAAAAACCUUUCAA